CAUGCCCUCCGCCCCUUCCACGCCUGAUCGAUCGGAUCCGAAAACUCGUUUAAUUUUGGUUCUGAGCGGUCUUGACAUCCUGCAUACCGUCUCUCUCAUCGGCUCACCUCACACCUGGCUCUCCCAUCCACCUCCCUCAGCGCGCUCCGCCGCCUCGCCUUCUCCCCCUCUCCCUCGGCAGCCGCCGCGAGCGACCCUUCAUCGACAGCGUCUGCUCCGACAAUGCCACCCUCAUGCCUCGCUCGGAUCUCUCCGAUCGCGUCCCUUCUCACAACACAGACCCUCAGGCCGCUUCUCUCGUCAAUACCUCGACAGCACUCCUCGUCCUCCUCGCCCUUGCGGUGGCCAGUGGAGUGGCGGCAGACGGCUCGGACCACCGGUACAAGAUGUACAGGCUUGUCCCCGCUGAACGGCAACAAUGGCCCCUUUCACAAUCCUAGAUGCUAAAGAUGGGGUCGUUUCUGAUUUCCUGAGCCUCAGCACGAUGUUGUUUCCGAAUUUUAGUGCGGACUUGAAUGGGACAACUGGCGAUAUGGUUGAUUUUCAAUCUACAGGGGAUGUAGGGAAUAGCGCAUCCAUCACCGAGAUGGGCAACCUGGUUCCUGAGCCAUCCUACGUGGAAGCAGAAGAGGCUAGAUUAUGGAGUGUUGCUACUAUGAAUUGCUUAGAAUUUGAUGCCUGGACCACAGUUGUUGAGGAGAUGGACAAAAAUGCUGAGGUUAUGCAUGCUACAAGAUUACUUGUGUUCUGACUGCCACCAUGUAGCAACAUUGAGGUAUUCUUUUAGACUAAUAUAAACUAUAAUUUUCCAAAUCAUUUACACUACUAUUUUUGUCUUGUGUUGUCUAGAGGUGUUGAAUAGGGCGCCCGAAAGGGCGCUGCCUGAUGUAGCAACGUCACACCUGUUCAUCGCACAUGUUCAUCAUUCUACAAAUGACAACGUCACACCUGUUCAUCGCACAUGUUCUGACUUUUGUCGAGCGGCACCACACAUAUUCUUAUAUCCCACACCACAGGUUGCAUCUGGUUGCAAACAAGCUCUGACCAAAUAUCCUAUCUAGCUGCGAGAACUGUUUCCUUCACCCCUUCCGUCUUACCACCUUAUCUGACUGCAUUUUAUCCAAAAAAAUUAGUACCAGAACCGAUUGCCUUCAAAGCGCAAACAAAUGGAACCAGUGUAAUGCUAAAAUGGUCUUCAGGAUCAAAACAAUUUGCACUUCUAGAAUAACUCACUAGAUCACUUCGGUAUACAAAUCAACACUUGACCACUUUCAUCACACUAUUGUGGAAAUCAACGCACAACCCUGGCGCACACUUGCCUAAGAAUGCACACGCAACAAAUGACUGGGUCUUGCAGCCUAAAAUGUAGUGUCCACGACAGACUACAUAAUGUUUAAGGAUAUGUAAAAAAAGAGCAGCCAGACAACAAGGUGAAGUAACAACUAGAAAAACAAAAAAACAGAUUCAAACCUUUUUCCUGACAGUGGUAUGUGAUCUAUUCCAUGGUACAGUUAAUAUCACUUCAAAGGCGCCAUGUGCUAUUUAUACUGAAUUUACAAGACCUUAUAUACUAUGUCAACAAACCCUCAGAAAUCAAUUCUGGGGAUACAGGUUAACUGCCAGCAAGAUGGUUCCAAUAACCAGUCACCCAAAAAGUACUAGAAUGUCUGGACUCCCAUGGAAGUGUAAAGCUUCGGCUAAAUCCAACAUCAAAUGCCCUUAAGCAAAUAAAUAUUUGGUGUAACUGUAAUGUCAUUCCUAAUCAAAUUGGUACUCAUCAAAACGGAUUUUGGUGUUUGAAAUUGGAAAGUUGUGGUCUAGAAUCGGUAUGUCCAUUACCUAAAUCUCACAAAGGAAAAUAGGUUUGAAGAAUCAUGUGCGAUAAAUAUAUAAGUAAAUAUUAGCCUUGGAUGAGUGUUCUUACCACUUCUUUUAACGUCUGUGUCCCCCAAAAAAUGUGCUUGCCUUUUUAGGCUCAGCUCGAUUUCACAGCAAAAAACCUUCCGAGUCAUGUUUGAAAAACUAGGAGCUGGCGGCCAGUAUCCCACUCCUUCACACAAAGAAGUAAACAAUUAUCAUCAUGAAUGAAUUUAGAAAGUUGCAAACAACCAAAGACACUAAUAUUAUUGCCGUACGUAUAUUUUUAACAUUUUCCUCCAUCAACAGAGAUCUAGAGCUCUUGACGGAUUUUUGGUGAUAAAAGUUAGUCUUCCGAAAUAGCAGAGACUAAUUGGGUCUAACUAGACCUUUCGCGUUUAUUUACCAAGGUGUGUUAGUUGCCGCCAACAUGCUCUUCUAGAACACUAUUUUGAACAUGUGAAAAGCUUAGCCUAAUCUGAAAUCUUGCAUGUAAUUUAUUUUUAUCUUCCCUCAUUCACCUGCUCAAAAUUAUCUGAACAAAUAUUUGAUACUACUGUUAAUCUAUAUUUGAGAAAGGCAUGUAUGAAAAAUGGGAGACUCCAUUUGAGCACAACCCUUAAGCAUUUGCCAACACAUUUUUCAUUUCUAUUUGCUUACUUUAUCUACAGUUACCUCUGCUGUAGAGUUCGAAUUGCAUGAUAUGCUUGGUAUGCUGUGGUACUCCACCCUUUUUAGCUCCAUCAAUUAGAAAACAUUUUUGGCUUGGUUUUGGUGACUGGAAGGAGUCUCUAGCCAGUCAGAGAAAUGUUGCCAGUUUUACAUAUAACUGGAACGAUUUACGGGGCAAGAUUUUGAAAGAAUUGACUGCAAAUGUUUGUUUGUUAUAUAUAUAUGUUGUCCUCAAACCAUGUGUUACAAAUGUUGGGAUAUGCCAUCAGGAGAGAGCUUAGAGCAGGCCUGUGCAUAAUCUACCUCCACUGUACUAACGAUUUAGAAUUGUAGGAAACUAGAAUUGCUUCAAUGUUGUUGAUGUGUUGUAUUGCUUGAGCCUCAUGACCUAUUUACAUAUGAGUACAUCAUUUAGGGGGCAUGUACUCUAAUAGAGUAACAUGCAUGGUAGUUGGUAGGUCUGUAGGUGCAUAGGGCAAUAGGUAGCUGCUAUGCAUCUUAUUGGGGGUUUUGGUGCUUUUCUUUUUGUGCUGAUGUCCUAUAAAAUGGUAUUUUGUGUAAAUGCAUAUUCAAUCCCCAUCUGGACAUUUCACUUCAAUUCUCUCCGUAGGAAUCAGAGGGUCCGCUUUGGGCCCUCAAUUUGUUGCUAAACCACUUGCACCUGAUAACCCUCCACUGAAGGUAACAUUUAUUGACAACAUCGAUCCUGGUGGGAUUGAUCAUCAAAUUGCUCAACUAGGACCUGAACUGGCAACUAGCUACUCUUGUAAUUGUCAUUUCUAAGAUUUUGGAGGCCCAAGUGAGCAGGCCUUCCUGUUAUCUAGAACACAAAGGCCAUUUACUCCAUUGCAGUGGAUGGAGUUGGAGCACCAGGCUCUCAUGUACAAUCUCAAUGCAAUGGCCCCGGUACCGUACCUUCCAGCCUGCUCAUUUCAAUCAGCAAGAACUUCAUAUCAUCCAAUAGAGAUAUGCAUAUUUUGAAUCAUAAGGCUAAGGUUAUCUACUUCAAAACUACUAGCAUUUGCAAUAAAAAAAUAGAAGAUAAAAAUAUUAUUUGCACAAAUGAAUGCAUUUGUAGUGUUACAUGGUAAAUAAUAAUGUUGGCAGCUUUGUAGUAUCAGAAACUACAUGAGCCAUUUGCUCAUUGUAUUGGAUGUUUCUAUAUCUGGAGCUGUGCUGUUAGAGUAUUAGAGUUCUACACUUUACGAUGGAAUAGUUUGCAGAUUCCUCUAUUCAUAUUUUUUGAGUUUAGGUAAUUAACUUUAUGGAUCGUCUUAAGUCCUCAUGGUUGGGGAGUAUGUACUAACAACUAAAGUCAAGACUAAGCAAAAUGAAUCAAACAAGUAAAGCCUGUGGCUGCCUGUAGCUUACUGACAAAUAAAAACGAAUCAAGUUGGUACCAUAGUAACACAAGACCAGUUGUCAUUAUCCUUUUAUUCCAUAUGAUU